GAUGAACGCUGGCGGCGUGCCUAAUACAUGCAAGUCGAACGAGUGGCGAACGGGUGAGUAAUGUCUGGGAAACUGCCCGAUGGAGGGGGAUAACUACUGGAAACGGUAGCUAAUACCGCAUACCAUCGGAUGUGUCCAGAUGGGAUUAGCUAGUAGGUGGGGUAACGGCUCACCUAGGCGACGAUCCCUAGCUGGUCUGAGAGGAUGACCAGCCAGACUGAAGCUGAAGCACGGUCCAGACUCCUACGGGAUGCGGCAGUGAGGAAUAUUGCACAAUGGGCGCAGGCCUGAUGCAGCCAUGCCGCGUGUAUGAAGAAGGCCUUAGGGUUGUAAAGUACUUACAGCGAUGAGGCGUUACUCGCAGAAGAAGCACCGGCUAACUCCGUGCCAGCAGCCGCGGUAAUAC
rnacentral:rRNA from 1 species